UACGGAAGGGGCUAGCGUUGUCCGGAAUUACUGGGCGUAAAGCGCACGUAGGCGGCCUUGUAAGAUGGGGGUGAAAUCCCCGGGCUCAACCCGGGAACUGCCUUCAUGACUGCAAAGCUAGAGGAUGCGAGAGGUUAGCGGAAUUCCGAGUGUAGAGGUGAAAUUCGUAGAGAUUCGGAAGAACACCAGUGGCGAAGGCGGCUAACUGGCGCAUUUCUGACGCUGAGGUGCGAAAGCGUGGGGAGCAAACAGG
rnacentral:rRNA from 1 species